rnacentral:sRNA from 1 species
UGAAUAGAUUAAGAGAAAUCCGGAUUACAAAAUGUCAAGAACACA